ensembl:rRNA 5S_rRNA 5S ribosomal RNA
GUCUAAGGCCAUACUACCCUGGACACACCUGAUCUCAGAUGUUAAGCAGGGUUGGGCCUGUCUAGUAUUUGGAUGGAAGACUGCCUGGGAAUAUCAGGUGCUACGGCCU